rnacentral:rRNA from 1 species
AUGGCGGCAAUGACGGUGCGCGACGUGCUGUACAUGUACAGCAUCGCACGGCAGGCGUACGACCGGUUCAUUUCCGUGUGCGGCAGCCCGGAGAAAGCCCAGAACGCGGUGGCACUGCUGGUGUGGCUGGACCAGGGCACCAUCUCCGCCAUACACCACGUCCCAGCCAUGGCGCCCGACGCCGUCGCCAUCGUCGCAGAAGAGGCCAACGUCGUCCUCUUGUGCCUCCGCCACCAGGAGCCCGCCCUCCCGCCCAUCCCGCUCAUCUCCGCGCUCUGCAUGCAAGGCGGUGUCCACAUCGAGCCGGGCUUCUUCGCCUUCCACCAGGACCUCGUCGUCCACGGCGUCGCCCACUUCCUAGAUGGUGCCGGCAAGUUCGUAUUCGACGACCGCCUGCACGCCCUGCUCCGGAGGUCCGAGACUGGGCUGAUUGUCAACCCGCCGGAGCUCAUGGCGCCCUACACCUCCCAACCAGUGGUCGUGCCGGAGGACUGCCGCUCCAUGUUCAUCACCUUCUCCAAGGGAAAUGCCCUCCACCACGAGGAGAUCUUUGAGUACUUCAGGCAGAAGUGGGGCGACUGUGUAGUGAGGAUGCUCAUGGAGAAGACGAAGGGAGGCCACAGGCCCAUGUAUGGCCGGAUCAUCUUCAAGACAGAGGUGAUCGUGAAGCUCGUGCUCAACGGCGAGAGGCUCGUCAAGAUCUCCAUCGGACAACGUGAGAUUUGGCUCCGCAAGUACGUCCCCAGGCCAACCAACGCUGUCGCCUGA